ACUUGUCUAGCUCAGUUGGUAAAAUAUAAGACUCUUAACCCUAAGGUUAUGGAUUCAAGCCCCACGGUGGGCA
rnacentral:tRNA from 7 species